GGGGCUCUUUUAGGUUUUAGAUUCAUAAAUUUGGUUAGAUUUGAGGUUUCUUAACAUUGUUCUUGUUACUUUUUAGUUUUAAAGUUAAUCUAUUUUCAUUUUUUUUAUUUUCUAUUUCCUUUUACUUUAUUUUCACGCAUUGGUUGUUCCGGAUUGAUAAUCAACACAUUUCGCAGAUCGAAGUUGUUGUUCAAACAAUCUCACG
rnacentral:lncRNA from 1 species